rnacentral:rRNA from 1 species
UACGUAGGGUGCAAGCGUUGUCCGGAAUUAUUGGGCGUAAAGAGCUCGUAGGCGGUUUGUCACGUCGGCUGUGAAAACCUGGGGCUCAACUCCGGGCCUGCAGCCGAUACGGGCAGACUAGAAUUCGGUAGGGGAGACUGGAAUUCCUGGUGUAGCGGUGAAAUGCGCAGAUAUCAGGAGGAACACCGGUGGCGAAGGCGGGUCUCUGGGCCGAUAUUGACGCUGAGGAGCGAAAGCGUGGGGAGCGAACAGG